GAUGAAGAACGUAGCGAAAUGCGAUAAGUAAUGUGAAUUGCAGAAUUCAGUGAAUCAUCGAAUCUUUGAACGCACAUUGCGCCCCUUGGUAUUCCGAGGGGCAUGCCUGUUCGAGCGUCAUUAUAACCCCUCAAGCUCAGCUUGGUGUUGGGGCCUGCUGCACUGGCAGCCCUUAAAAUCAGUGGCGGCGCCAUCUGGCUCUAAGCGUAGUAAUUCUUCUCGCUAUGGAGUCCCGGUGGGUGCUUGCCAUCAACCUUAAAAAAACUUUUCUAUGGUUGACCUCGGAUCAGGUAGGGAUACCCGCUGAACUUAAGCAUAUCAAUAAGCGGAGGA
rnacentral:misc_RNA from 1 species